rnacentral:rRNA from 1 species
CCUACGGGUGGCAGCAGUGGGGGAUAUUGCACAAUGGGGGAAACCCUGAUGCAGCGACGCCGCGUGAGUGAAGAAGUAUUUCGGUAUGUAAAGCUCUAUCAGCAGGGAAGAAAAAAGACGGUACCUGACUAAGAAGCCCCGGCUAACUACGUGCCAGCAGCCGCGGUAAUACGUAGGGGGCAAGCGUUAUCCGGAUUUACUGGGUGUAAAGGGAGCGUAGACGGCAAUACAAGUCGGAAGUGAAAUACCUGGGCUCAACCUGGGAACUGCUUUGGAAACUGUAUGGCUAGAGUGCUGGAGAGGUAAGCGGAAUUCCUAGUGUAGCGGUGAAAUGCGUAGAUAUUAGGAGGAACACCAGUGGCGAAGGCGGCUUACUGGACAGUAACUGACGUUGAGGCUCGAAAGCGUGGGGAGCAAACAGGAUUAGAUACCCUUGUAUC